rnacentral:rRNA from 1 species
ACUCCUGCGGGAGGCAGCAGUGGGGAAUAUUGGACAAUGGGCGCAAGCCUGAUCCAGCCAUGCCGCGUGAGUGAUGAAGGCCCUAGGGUUGUAAAGCUCUUUCACCGGAGAAGAUAAUGACGGUAUCCGGAGAAGAAGCCCCGGCUAACUUCGUGCCAGCAGCCGCGGUAAUACGAAGGGGGCUAGCGUUGUUCGGAAUUACUGGGCGUAAAGCGCACGUAGGCGGAUCGAUCAGUCAGGGGUGAAAUCCCAGGGCUCAACCCUGGAACUGCCUUUGAUACUGUCGAUCUGGAGUAUGGAAGAGGUGAGUGGAAUUCCGAGUGUAGAGGUGAAAUUCGUAGAUAUUCGGAGGAACACCAGUGGCGAAGGCGGCUCACUGGUCCAUUACUGACGCUGAGGUGCGAAAGCGUGGGGAGCAAACAGGAUUAGAAACCCCGGUAGUCCCAUG